GCGGAGGGAGGAGGGCGCACGGGGUGAGAAGUUGGAGAAGGAAGGAGGUGCGGGACUCCGAGAGCACGCUGCAGGUGGAAUUUACAAAACCUCUGCGCCCCUGGUCACCCAGGGCCGGAAACCCCUCUGAGAGGCUUCCUGGGAUUGUCCGGUAUUCGCUGGCACCCUGCCCCAGGGGCGAAAAGACCCCCUCCCUCUCUUGGGCCGGUGAGAAGCUGACCUCUCCACACUGACGUCUAGAAACCGCCCCACCCCAGUGGAAAGUCCCUGCCUGACAAAAGGCUCCCGGAAAUGGACAAACCUCGGGACAAACCGCAGGUGUCACCUGACCCGGGAAAACCCCAACUGCCACCAGUUUCUGCCAGCAACAGUUGCCUCAGAAAAGCGUAAAAACUUGCCCCUGCCCCAGUCUGGCCCGGCUUCUCCUGCUCCCCUCCCCGAGCUGCUGAACCCGCCCGUGUGCUCCCAAUAAAGCCUGUUUAAUCUGGUCUCUGUUUGGACUCACGGUUUUUCCUUGCGGCGGCGUAAAACCUAAGAUUUGGUGCCGAAACCGGGAGUGGGUCUCGGACUGGGACGAUCCUCGCCCCGGUCUCCUCUUACGACCUGGGAAGCUGUGGGCAGCGGCAGCUCGCCGGGGUAACUCCCAGACUCUGAGGUGCCGGGUCCGGCUCACUUCCCCGGUUUGCCGCCCCGGACCUCGGCCUGGACUUCCCUCGGACUCCGUCUCCAGAUGGAUUGAGGCCUUCAGAGACAGCGGAAGUAGUGUCCAGCCACCUCAUCAGGGACAUCAUUCCUCGUUUUGGUCUCCCUACGUCCCUCCAGUCGGAUAACGGACCUGCUUUCAUCUCGAAGGUCACGGAGGCCGUUUCUUCCUCUCUGGGAAUAUCCUGGAAACUUCACUCUGCCUACCACCCUCAGUCAUCGGGAAAGGUAGAAAGGGCUAAUGGCCUAAUAAAGGAACAGUUAACUAAACUUAGCCUCGAGCUUCGCCUCUCGUGGCCCGAGCUCCUCCCACUGGCUCUAGCCAGACUAAGAGCCUCCCCAAGGGGACCCUCACACCUCAGCCCCUUUGAGCUCUUGUAUGGACGCCCCUUCCUGCUCUCCUCACCCCCGCCUCCAUCUACACCUCCACUGGCCUCCUAUCUUCCCUGUCUCUCUCUACUAAGAGACCUCCUUAGGGAACACGCCAACUCUGCUCUCCCCGAACCUACCCCGGGAGAUCAGGCCCCGAUCUCCCUCGCCCCGGGAGACCAGGUACUAAUCAAAUCUCUCUCCCCCAAACCGCUAACUCCCCGGUGGGAAGGCCCAUACACUGUCAUCUUAACCACACCUUCGGCAGUUAAAGUUCUCGGCAUCACCUCCUGGAUUCACCGUUCCCGCCUCAAGAAACCCAGCUCGGCCCCCUCUCCCCACAAUGGCCCCCCAACAGGAUGGAGGGCCACGCCUACAGGG